GGCCUGGGUAAAUAGAAAAAUUUUAAACGGGAAGCAGCUACAUGCUUGUAUCUCUUAAAUGGUGUCCUUACUUUAUCCAUAUUGCUAUAGAAAAUCAGAAAGAAGACCUACCCGCUUUAAAUGGACAAACGUUUCAUGCUUGUGCGGACUGAAAAUUCUGCUACAGCUUUACUGAUUAUAAUCUAAAUGGUAAAACAGGGGGAUCAAGGGACUUGAUGAAGGGAUCCUGAGCAUGAAAGCAGGAGGAAAGCGUCGACUUGUCAUCCCAGGAUCACCAACUGCCGAGGAAAGAGAACAUGGAAGGAAAUAUUGGCAUAAAAGGAGAAGUCCUACGAUUCUCCAACUCAUACCAAAAAAGAGGAGUUUAUUUUAUUUCAUUGUUUAAUAUUAUUAUAGUCAGUACUAUUUCUUUUUUUUUUUUAGAAGAAAUUGGAACUCAUUUUAUUAAAAGCCAUCGCUUAUGACAAAUGAAUACUAUGGUUACAUUCCAACACUACGGAGUAAUUCUGCUUGUUUUGUGUCUAGUUGUGGAGAUGGGGCAACCUAAGGUGCAGCCUGUGACCAAAAUCUGCUUCUCUUGUGUAUGUUGUGUUGUGAAGGGCCUGCUAGUACAGCUUGUCCAAUUUUGGAGAUGGUGAAGCCAUUUGGUGCAGCGGGUGAUCUCAAGCAGUUUUUGUCGUGUAUGUUGUGUUGUGAAACAAGUGUUAGUGCAUGUUGUUUUGUAUCCAGUUGUGGAGAUGCACCUGGUGUUUCUUGUGUACAUUGUAGACUAUGGGCUUUGUGUGCAAACACUUGUUGUGUUGUGAAGAUGUUGUGGUGUAGUUUGUGUGUACACCUUGUGGAGAUGCUAUGCUGUAGUAUGUGGAGAUGCUGUGGUGUACUAUGUAGACUAGGGGCGUUGGUAGCAUCCACCAUGUGUACCUUAUGUAUAUACAGAUAUGUAAGUGAAAUUCAGACUCUGAUGAAUAUGACAACUUUAUAUGAAUUUCUACUA